rnacentral:misc_RNA from 1 species
UAUGGAUUCAUGUGCUGACGAUAUUGGCACUGUAGAGGAAAUGGCAGAGGUUACAAUUUUGUCCCGGCAAACUUCUGUUAACCUUGUCCCAUUUAUUGGACAGAGGUUUGUUUCCCAAGAUGCUGCCUAUGAAUUUUAUUGCAGCUUUGCAAAGCAAUGUGGCUUUUCAAUCAGACGUCAUCGUACUCGAGGGAAAGAUGGUGUAGGUAGGGGAAUUACAAGAAGGGAUUUCACUUGCCACCG